rnacentral:rRNA from 1 species
CAGUCGCCACGGUAAUACGAAGGGUGCAAGCGUUACUCGGAAUUACUGGGCGUAAAGCGUGCGUAGGUGGUGGUUUAAGUCCGUUGUGAAAGCCCUGGGCUCAACCUGGGAAUUGCAGUGGAUACUGGGUCACUGGAGUGUGGUAGAGGAUAGUGGAAUUUCCGGUGUAGCAGUGAAAUGCGUAGAGAUCGGAAGGAACAUCUGUGGCGAAGGCGACUAUCUGGGCCAACACUGACACUGAGGCACGAAAGCGUGGGGAGCAAACAGGAUUAGAUACCCCUGUAGUCCAUGUCUCUUAUAC